CGCUGACGAGUGGCGAACGGGUGAGUAAUACAUCGGAACGUGCCCAGUCGUGGGGGAUAACUACUCGAAAGAGUAGCUAAUACCGCAUACGAUCUGAGGAUGAAAGCGGGGGACCUUCGGGCCUCGCGCGAUUGGAGCGGCCGAUGGCAGAUUAGGUAGUUGGUGGGAUAAAAGCUUACCAAGCCGACGAUCUGUAGCUGGUCUGAGAGGACGACCAGCCACACUGGGACUGAGACACGGCCCAGACUCCUACGGGAGGCAGCAGUGGGGAAUUUUGGACAAUGGGCGAAAGCCUGAUCCAGCCAUGCCGCGUGCAGGAUGAAGGCCUUCGGGUUGUAAACUGCUUUUGUACGGAACGAAAAAGUUCUCUCUAAUACAGGGGGCGAAUGACGGUACCGUAAGAAUAAGCACCGGCUAACUACGUGCCAGCAGCCGCGGUAAUACGUAGGGUGCAAGCGCUAAUCGGAAUUACUGGGCGUAAAGCGUGCGCAGGCGGUUAUAUAAGACAGAUGUGAAAUCCCCGGGCUCAACCUGGGAACUGCAUUAGUGACUGUAUAGCUAGAGUGCGGCAGAGGGGGAUGGAAUUCCGCGUGUAGCAGUGAAAUGCGUAGAUAUGCGGAGGAACACCGAUGGCGAAGGCAAUCCCCUGGGCCUGCACUGACGCUCAUGCACGAAAGCGUGGGGAGCAAACAGGAUUAGAUGCCCUGGUAGUCCACGCCCUAAACGAUGUCUACUAGUUGUCGGGUCUUAAUUGACUUGGUAACGCAGCUAACGCGUGAAGUAGACCGCC
rnacentral:rRNA from 1 species